CUACGGGUUGCACCAGUGAGGAAUAUUGCACAAUGGGGGGAACCCUGAUGCAGCAACGCCGCGUGGAGGAUGACGCAUUUCGGUGUGUAAACUCCUUUUAUAUGUCAAGAAAAUGUCGGUAGCAUAUGAAUAAGCACCGGCUAACUCCGUGCCAGCAGCCGCGGUAAUACGGAGGGUGCAAGCGUUACUCGGAAUCACUGGGCGUAAGGGACGCGUAGGCGGGUUGGAAAGUCAGGUGCGAAAUCCUACAGCUUAACUGUAGAACUGCACUUGAAACUUCUAAUCUAGAGUAUGGGAGGGGGAGAUGGAAUUAGUGGUGUAGGGGUAAAAUCCGUAGAUAUCACUAGGAAUACCUAAAGCGAAGGCGAUCUCCUGGAACAUUACUGACGCUAAGGCGUGAAAGCGUGGGGAGCAAACAGGAUUAGAUACCCCUGUAGUC
rnacentral:rRNA from 1 species